GUUGUGCCUCUCACCCUGGGUUAUGAGUGCCAUCCACUUUGCCAUCAUCUGGAGGUCUGUACUAAAAUCCACGGCGAUGGACUGGGCGUCAUGCAGAGUUUUAUGGUCAUCAGGUCUCAGCUGUAAGGAAUGAAUUCUGCUGGCCCCCAGCUUCCAGAUUGUCAGGGAGCUUAUCCUGAUAGCAAACCAGUCUGAUUCUUCGUCCUUCCACCCAGUGAUCUUGGUAAUCCCCUCUGGAGCCAAGCCAAACAGGCCUGAUCUCUCCUGGACAGGAUAGCUCUUCAGACAGGAAGGCAGGGGACGUGUCCCCUCCUCCACCCCCGAGUCUUCUGUAAGCUAAAUACCCCCCAUUCCUCAUGCGGCUUGAACUGAGACUGUUCCAGGAACAGGUAACCACUCUUCGAUUCCUGCCUUACUCCUGGGCACUUGAGUGCCAAGAGAUCCUCCUCAGCGUCUUAUGGGUGGAAAAGACAAUUCUCCACUCUCUCCACAGGAGCAGCCGGAGGCUUAGUACCAGGUGUUGGUGGAAUCCCAGGCAUUGGAAGCGUUGCAGGUGUUCCAGGUGUCGGUGGUGUCCCAGGAGCAGAAAGCCCAGCUGCAGCGGCCAAAGCAGCAGCUAAAGCAGCCAAGUAUGGGGCCAGGGCUGUCCCUGGAGUUGGAGUUCCUGGCUUUGGUGUGGGCCCUGGAGUUGGAGUUCCUGGCUUUGGGGUUGGCGCUGGAGCUGUUCCUGGUGCGGGGGUCGUUCCCGGAGGUAUCCCCGGGACAGCUCUCUCCCCUGCUGCUGCCGCCGCUGCCGCCAAAGCAGCUAAGUAUGGUGCUGGAGGUCUUGGAGGGAUAGUUCCUGGUGCUGGCAUCCCAGGUGUGGGAGUUGUUCCAGGUGGCGUUGGAGGCGUGGUAGGAGGUCCAGGAGCACUGGAUCAAUCUGCAGCUGCAGCCAAAGCCGCCGCUAAAGCUGCCCAGUAUGGGUUAGUCCCAGGUGUGGGAGGACUUGCAGGGGUCCCAGGUGUUCCUGGUGUCGGAGGUCUCCCAGGAGCAGUAUCUCCAGCAGCCCAGGCUGCGGCCAAAGCAGCUGCCAAAGCCCAGUAUAGAGCUGUUCCUGGGAUUGGAGGAGUCCCUGGCUUCCCACCUAGAGCUGUAGAUGGCAUCGUCUCCCCGCCUAGUGUUGGAGUCAUCCCAGGCUUUGGGGCUGGUGUAGCUCCAGGAGCCCUGGCAGCAGCAAAAGCAGCUAAGUAUGGAGCUGGUGGCCUUGGCGGUCUGGGAGGAGGCUUGGUACCUGGUGUGGCUGGCGUCCCAGGAGCAGGAAUUGGAGGUCUAGGAGGUGUUCCAGGAGCAGUUUCCCCAGCUGCAGCCGCAGCGGCCAAGGCUGCUGCCAAAGCUGCCCAGUAUGGCCUUGGAGGAGUUGGAGGUCUGGCAGGCAUCGGAGGGGUCCCAGGCAUUGGAGGCAUCGCAGGGGUCCCUGGAGUGGGCGGAGUAGGAGGUCCAGCUGCAGCCGCUAAAGCCGCUGCCAAAGCAGCUAAGUACGGUGCUGCUGGUGGGGUUGGCCUCGUGCCAGGAAUUGGAGGUUUGCCAGGGACCCGAGUGCUGCCAGGGGCAGGUGUCCCAUCAUUUGGCUAUGGACUUUCACCUAUUUUCCCAGGUGGCGGAGCUGGUGGACUGGGAUUUGGUGGAAAACCUUCCAAACAGUUUGGUGGUGCCCUUGGAGCUCUGGGAUAUCGAGGUGGGGCUUGUUUGGGGAAAUUGUGUGGCCGGAAGAGAAAGUAAAUCUUCCCAGGACACCCGACCCGAGACCUCAUGAACUUUGGUGCUACUGCCUAGUCUAGAAUGUAUACCUUGAGUGACUCCCUCUCCCCCUCCCCUCCCCCCUCUUCCCCACCCUUCUCCCAGGGUCAGAUCCUUCUCACUGGAGUGUUCCUACAGCCACCCACCCAUCCGGUGGGGGUAGGGGAUGGGGUGGAGGCACGGGACCACGGGGCAAGCAAACACAAGAACCAGGGGUCAGCUUGGAAUUCUGUCCCCUUCCCUAAAGGAGCUUGGGUAAGGGGAGGGAUCAGAUGCCCUCCUCAUCACCACCACCACCCCAUUCCCACCCAGGAGCUCUCCCCUCUGCGUUCAUGAUCUUGAGGGAAAUAUGGUGCUACUUGUUGGUGCUUAUAACUUUCUUGGGGGUGAGGGAGGAGGGAAGAGGGGGUCCCCUGGAUAAGCCCCUCACCUGGGGGCUCCUCUAAACACAGCCCUGGAGAUUUUCAAGACAUCCAACCCUACCCCCACCAGGAAAGGUCAGCCCAGGACCCACAGUCAUGCUCUCCCACUGGGAUGAGCAGCCUUUGGGGUUGGGCCUGCUUGCCCUACCUUGUACCCGAGCACUUUAAAUCAGCCUCAGUCCUGGUUGCGAGCCAUCCAGAUCUGGCCACCUCUCCCCACCACGCCAGAGGGCUGUCCCUUCAGUCUCUCCCUUGCUGCUCCUCACAUCCAUCCAUGGAGCCAAUAUACCUGAAGACUGGGAACAGCCAUGCCCCUGAUCUUUUUGGAAUUUAUCUUUCCAUCCAUCCGUCCACCCCUCACCCAAAAAAAGUUUACCACCCAGUCUAGCAAGAGGCUCCUGCCCCAGCAGACUUGAAUGUCUUUCAGUGAUGCCCUCCACCUUGUAGGACCUGUCCUGGUCUUCCCCACCUCUACCCCUCGCCCCAGCCCUGCCACCACAUACACUCACACACCCCACUGGCAAGGGGAGACCCCUGCCAUCGGGAGUGUGGGAACGCAUGCAUGUACUCACCAUUGACAGCGACUCCAUCCCCGCCAGGCCUGGGACAGCCAGCACUGCCUAGAACCCCAAGAGGCCCGAGGAUGGGGCUGCGGCGGGAGGGGAACCAGAGGGAAAUGAGGACCCAGAGCUCCCCGCCUAUCCCUGGUAUAUCUCACACAGCAGUACUGUAUCCUCAGUCCCUUGAGCCCCUGGGCGUCGGAGCAACUCUUCCCAACAUUCAGGCCCUGUCUCCGUGUCUCGCUGUGAUAGAUCAAUAAAUAUUUUAUUUUUUGUCCUGGAUACUUGGGG
ensembl:lncRNA